CGUUUGAAUUUCGUUUAUAAUUUAAAAUUGUGCACGAAUUUUGCAUCUAAGGUACGCACGUUUUAUUCUUAAGUGUUUACAGUAUGUAUACGUCUUACUUGUAAACGAUUUUCAGUGCUUUUAUUCGCGAAGUGAUAGUUUUUUACAUAUUUUUCGUGUUUAAAGUAUUAUACGUUUGUCGCGAGUGUUUCGAUCGAAAGUACGUUUUAUUCGAAAGUGUUUCUUCGCGACAGUUUCGUGUUUUUUAUGCGCGAGUGAUGGUAAAUUUCGUCGAUUACGAUGGAUCUAUUGAUGGAUAGAAGGAAAGCGUUGAAUAACUGCCACAAACAUGCUGUAUAAAUCUACGUGAAAUCUACGAACGACGUUCGAUCCUGUUGAACAUGCUGCGAUACAUCAACACCCCUCGUAUAAUGGACACAGGUCCAACUGAGAUAACAAAUGAACUUAGCAGAAAAUCGUAGAGGAGUAAUUAAUGGGACAAUUUUCGUUUCGCUAUCGUUAUUCAGCGCGAAGGAAGACAGGGUACAGGUGUUGCCUGUGCCUCAGAUAAUGGUUCGGCUAUCUGCACAUCCGUUAAUUCGGGAUAGGAGCUCGCCGGCAAAAUCCUGACAGCAGGGAGUUUUGGCCGAGUGGUUCGCCCUACCACGACAGAGAGAGAAAGAGAGAGAGAGAGAGAGAGAGAGAGAGAGAGCUGGUAAUUGGUGUCUGAAAGCUGUUUUCACCCGGAAACCAAUCGUCCUCCUCUUCGACGAAACUUUCGCAGCGGAGUUUCCAGAUGUAGACCAUCCACCGGUGUAACCAAUCGUCGACAACCGUGCCACCCGGCAACCCGUGGAAGAAAAAUUGCGGCCGGUGAAGCGCGAAAACUGUGCAGGGAACACGUGGAAAAGUUUCGUGGCCGUGGUUGGCCAGCGUGAAACCGCAUCACUUUUCUGAUCGCCAAUAUCACGGGAAUACGUUUGCCUCUGAUUGAACCGAGAAACGGGUGGAUAAC